rnacentral:rRNA from 1 species
AUUGAUUUUAUGCUUGCAUAAAUGAUUUUUGGAUUCGGAGCGAGUGGCGAACUGGUGAGUAACACGUGGGUAACCUGCCCCGAAGCGGGGGAUAACAUUUGGAAACAAGUGCUAAUACCGCAUAAUUAGUUGGAACCGCAUGGUUCCAACUUGAAAGAUGGCUCUGCUAUCACUUUGGGAUGGACCCGCGCCGUAUUAGUUAGUUGGUGAGAUAAAAGCCCACCAAGACGAUGAUACGUAGCCGACCUGAGAGGGUAAUCGGCCACAUUGGGACUGAGACACGGCCCAGACUCCUACGGGAAGCAGCAGUAGGGAAUCUUCCACAAUGGACGAAAGUCUGAUGGAGCAACGCCGCGUGAGUGAUGAAGGUUUUCGGAUCGUAAAACUCUGUUGUUAAAGAAGAACAAGUGUUAGAGUAACUGUUAACACUUUGACGGUAUUUAACCAGAAAGCCACGGCUAACUACGUGCCAGCAGCCGCGGUAAUACGUAGGUGGCAAGCGUUGUCCGGAUUUAUUGGGCGUAAAGCGAGCGCAGGCGGUUUUGUAAGUCUGCUGUGAAAGCCCUCAGCUCAACUGAGGAAGUGCAGUGGAAACUACAAAACUUGAGUACAGAAGAGGAAAGUGGAACUCCAUGUGUAGCGGUGAAAUGCGUAGAUAUAUGGAAGAACACCAGUGGCGAAGGCGGCUUUCUGGUCUGUUACUGACGCUGAGGCUCGAAGGCAUGGGUAGCGAACAGGAUUAGAUACCCUGGUAGUCCAUGCCGUAAACGAUGAAUACUAGGUGUUGGAGGGUUUCCGCCCUUCAGUGCCGCAGCUAACGCAUUAAGUAUUCCGCCUGGGGAGUACGACCGCAAGGUUGAAACUCAAAGGAAUUGACGGGGGCCCGCACAAGUGGUGGAGCAUGUGGUUUAAUUCGAUGCUACGCGAAGAACCUUACCAGCUCUUGACAUCUUCUGCCAACCCAAGAGAUUGGGCGUUCCCUUCGGGGACAGAAUGACAGGUGGUGCAUGGUUGUCGUCAGCUCGUGUCGUGAGAUGUUGGGUUAAGUCCCGCAACGAGCGCAACCCUUAUUAUUAGUUGCCAGCAUUUAGUUGGGCACUCUAGUGAGACUGCCGGUGAUAAA